rnacentral:rRNA from 1 species
UACGUAGGGUGCAAGCGUUAAUCGGAAUUACUGGGCGUAAAGCGUGCGCAGGCGGUGAUGUAAGACAGUCGUGAAAUCCCCGGGCUCAACCUGGGAAUUGCGAUUGUGACUGCAUCGCUGGAGUGCGGCAGAGGGGGAUGGAAUUCCGCGUGUAGCAGUGAAAUGCGUAGAUAUGCGGAGGAACACCGAUGGCGAAGGCAAUCCCCUGGACCUGUACUGACGCUCAUGCACGAAAGCGUGGGGAGCAAACAGG